ensembl:snRNA U2 U2 spliceosomal RNA
AUCGCUUCUCGGCCUUCUGGCUAAGAUCAAGUGUAUAAACCUUAUUGGUAAAUGUAAGGAGAAACUGGUACAUGUUGUCUUCAACCCAUUAAGGAGAAUUUGACAAUAUGUAUCAAUUUUAAAAUGCAUAAACUGUUAUUCCAUUUCUAGAAGUUUAUGCUGCAUUU